rnacentral:sRNA from 1 species
CCCAGGAUAAAGCGCGAGCUUAAUGAG